GAAAGGCGGGCUAAACCCGCGUACAUGCCACCGGGGCAUCCCGGAGGCAGGAAAGGCUUCGGCCGGACAGGGAUGGGCAUGCGGCGCAUUAGGCAGUAGGCGGGGUAACGGCCCACCUAACCGACGAUGCGUAGGGGUUCUGAGAGGAAGGUCCCCCACACUGGUACUGAGACACGGACCAGACUCCUACGGGAGGCAGCAGUGAGGAAUAUUGGUCAAUGGUCGGGAGACUGAACCAGCCAAGCCGCGUGAGGGAUGAAGGUACAGAGUAUCGUAAACCUCUUUUGUCGGGGAACAAAGGCGGGGACGUGUCCCCGGAUGAGUGUACCUGAAGAAAAAGCAUCGGCUAACUCCGUGCCAGCAGCCGCGGUAAUACGGAGGAUGCGAGCGUUAUCCGGAUUUAUUGGGUUUAAAGGGUGCGCAGGCGGUCUGUUAAGCCAGCGGUCAAAGCCCGGGGCUCAACCCCGGCCCGCCGUUGAAACUGGCAGUCUCGAGUUGGAGAGAAGUAUGCGGAAUGCGCGGUGUAGCGGUGAAAUGCAUAGAUAUCGCGCAGAACUCCGAUUGCGAAGGCAGCAUGCCGGCUCCACACUGACGCUGAGGCACGAAAGCGUGGGUAUCGAACAGGAUUAGGUACCCUGGUAGUCC
rnacentral:rRNA from 1 species